CUGAGUAUUAGGCAAAUCCGGUACUCGUUAAGGCUGAGCUGUGAUGGGGAGAAGACAUUGUGUCUUCGAGUCGUUGAUUUCACACUGCCGAGAAAAGCCUCUAGAUAGAAAAUAGGUGCCCGUACCGCAAACCGACACAGGUAGUCAAGAUGAGAAUUCUAAGGUGAGCGAGCGAACUCUCGUUAAGGAACUCGGCAAAAUGACCCCGUAACUUCGGGAGAAGGGGUGCUCUUUAGGGUUAACGCCCAGAAGAGCCGCAGUGAAUAGGCCCAAGCGACUGUUUAUCAAAAACACAGGUCUCUGCUAAACCGUAAGGUGAUGUAUAGGGGCUGACGCCUGCCCGGUGCUGGAAGGUUAAGAGGAGUGGUUAGCUUCUGCGAAGCUACGAAUCGAAGCCCCAGUAAACGGCGGCCGUAACUAUAACGGUCCUAAGGUAGCGAAAUUCCUUGUCGGGUAAGUUCCGACCCGCACGAAAGGCGUAACGAUUUGGGCACUGUCUCAACGAGAGACUCGGUGAAAUCAUAGUACCUGUGAAGAUGCAGGUUACCCGCGACAGGACGGAAAGACCCCGUGGAGCUUUACUGUAGCCUGAUAUUGAAAUUCGGCACAGCUUGUACAGGAUAGGUAGGAGCCUUUGAAACGUGAGCGCUAGCUUACGUGGAGGCGCUGGUGGGAUACUACCCUAGCUGUGUUGGCUUUCUAACCCGCACCACUUAUCGUGGUGGGAGACAGUGUCAGGCGGGCAGUUUGACUGGGGCGGUCGCCUCCUAAAAGGUAACGGAGGCGCUCAAAGGUUCCCUCAGAAUGGUUGGAAAUCAUUCAUAGAGUGUAAAGGCAUAAGGGAGCUUGACUGCGAGACCUACAAGUCGAGCAGGGUCGAAAGACGGACUUAGUGAUCCGGUGGUUCCGCAUGGAAGGGCCAUCGCUCAACGGAUAAAAGCUACCCCGGGGAUAACAGGCUUAUCUCCCCCAAGAGUUCACAUCGACGGGGAGGUUUGGCACCUCGAUGUCGGCUCAUCGCAUCCUGGGGCUGUAGUCGGUCCCAAGGGUUGGGCUGUUCGCCCAUUAAAGCGGUACGCGAGCUGGGUUCAGAACGUCGUGAGACAGUUCGGUCCCUAUCCGUCGUGGGCGUAGGAAAUUUGAGAGGAGCUGUCCUUAGUACGAGAGGACCGGGAUGGACAUACCUCUGGUGUACCAGUUGUCGUGCCAACGGCAUAGCUGGGUAGCUAUGUGUGGACGGGAUAAGUGCUGAAAGCAUCUAAGCAUGAAGCCCCCCUCAAGAUGAGAUUUCCCAACUUCGGUUAUAAGAUCCCUCAAAGAUGAUGAGGUUAAUAGGUUCGAGGUGGAAGCAUGGUGACAUGUGGAGCUGACGAAUACUAAUCGAUCGAAGACUUAAUC
rnacentral:rRNA from 1 species